UCCUCUUUUCCCUAUAUCUAAAUCCCCAAUUCAAAAAUCAAAAUCCUAGGGUUUCUACCUCUCUUCAUCCCCUCUGGAAUUCGUCUCUCCGACGAAGCCUGCCGCCCCGCCGUCGUCUCUGUCACGCCGCCGCCUCUUCUGACUCAGGAAUGGGUGAUUCGAGAUAGUUUGAAACGGUUUCAUUUCAUCGUGGCAGUUCAUCUACAGCCCAAGACUGCCCCUUUUAUUUUUUUGAAUUAACUGUUGUAACUAAACGUAUUCUGUAGACGUUAAAGAAAAUUGAUAUUAUCUCUGCGGUUCUUGAUUAUUA